CAUUCCAAGUGACAACCUAGUUAUGCUUUUCCCCAAGCUCUGACAUUCAGUGUUUGGAACUGCUGGGUAGAUUGCAAAUCACCUUGUCUCGGCCUGAACUGCUGUGCACUUUGAAAGAAUGGAUUCUGGCUACUUGUGUGACUUCAAAGUCAAGCGUUGGGGAAGAGGAUUCCUUCUGAUUGCCAGUAACAAAGCAGUAUCACCAGUCACAUGGUCCUUGAGACAACACAAGAUGGUUUCAGCCAGAUUUGCUUCAAGGUUUACACGUGACCCGACAAAAGCACGCAUGACAAAAGUGCGCCAACAAAACCACAUCGCUAAAACCGCGACAUCAUCAACGCGCUGACAACAGCAUGCCAACAACAGAGCGUCGACAGAAGGACAAUUUAAGUUAAGGAAAGCAGAAAAAAACUGAAGAUGGCUCCACUAAAUGCAGAGAAAAUGAACACAGCGGAAUGAAGAGCCAGCAAAUAUACUGACUUGAAAUUAUCCACCAGUGCCCCAUUCAGUUCCGCCUUGCAAGGAGACUGCAACACAAUGGUCUCUGGCAGGUUUACAACUCUGGACCAUGAAGGAAUACACAUCAUUUUGCUCCAGUUGUGGUUGGCAGCUUCAAAAAGGCCACUGGGUCCAUGUCCAUUCUUUUCUAAUCACUUUUGGAAAUUGUUUGUUUUAGCUAUUAGGAACAACAAGAUUUUUAGUAUUGGAUGAAUAUCUUUCAAUCCUUAAUAAAAGAAGUUUUAAGUACAAAUGUAAGAAUUUAAAA